rnacentral:rRNA from 1 species
UACAGAGGGUGCAAGCGUUAAUCGGAAUUAUUGGGCGUAAAGCGUGCGUAGACGGUUACAUAAGUCGGGUGUGAAAGCCCCGGGCUCAACCUGGGAAUUGCAUUCGAGACUGCGUAGCUAGGGUGCGGAAGAGGGAAGCGGAAUUUCCGGUGUAGCGGUGAAAUGCGUAGAUAUCGGAAGGAACACCAGUGGCGAAAGCGGCUUCCUGGUCCAGCACCGACGUUCAGGCACGAAAGCGUGGGGAGCAAACAGG